rnacentral:rRNA from 1 species
AGCAGCCGCGGUAAUUCCAGCUCCAAUAGCGUAUAUUAAAGUUGUUGCAGUUAAAAAGCUCGUAGUUGAAUUUCGGAAUCUGUCCGUCGGUCGGGCUUCACUGUCCGUACUGGCGUGGUGGGUUCUUACCUUCUGAAUAACCAGCAUGCCAUUUACUUGGUGCAUUGGGGAAGUAGGACUAUUACCUUGAAAAAAUUAGAGUGCUCAAAGCAGGCUAGUGCCUGAAUACAUUAGCAUGGAAUAAUAAAAUAGGACGGCAUGGUUCUAUUUUGUUGGUUUCUAGGAUCACCGUAAUGAUUAAUAGGGAUAGUUGGGGGCAUUAGUAUUCAAUUGUCAGAGGUGAAAUUCUUGGAUUUAUUGAAGACUAACUUCUGCGAAAGCAUUUGCCAAGGAUGUUUUCAUUAAUCAAGAACGAAAGUUAGGGGAUCGAAGACGAUCAGAUACCGUCGUAGUCUUAACCAUAAACUAUGCCGACUAGGGAUCGGACGAUGUUAAUUUUUUAAUGACUCGUUCGGCGCCG